GUGGUCUACGUUUGUUGGCUUCUGCGUUCUGCCGUUCGCUUCUAAAAAACUGCUCCUGCUCUCAGCUUUCGUUGCCACGGGUUGGGCGGACGGCAGCGGUACUGUUUUACCGUUGCCAGCGACGCGGUCUUUAUUGCUCCACUUCGCCGGGUUUUCCGCCUUAGUUUAUUAUUAUAUCAUCUGCGCCUGCUUUCUUCCGCCGACGCUCCCUAUUCAUCCUCCUCGUCCACUCCGCAGGGGGAGGGUACCCGUCGCCGCUUCUUCCUUGUCGUUCGCUGGAUUUCCUUCCAUAAUCGGCUGCCGAGCUCACACGGCGUUUCCUCGCUGCUCGCGCCCGGCGAGCGUCCGCCGGGUGGUUGUUGCGGUGGUCGCCCCUUUGGGCACUGCUGCCGCGGCUUCGUCUGUUCUUCCCCGUUCUGUAAGAUCUGUUUGUUGUUUUUGCUUCUUGUCAGUUUUGUUAGAUCCAGUCUAUUUCGAUUUGUUCCGCUCUGAGCUUCAGUGGAUUGCUCCGUUUUCUGAUGAGGUUAUAUUGUUUUGUUGUUGUACAGGGCUGUGCUCGGUCUGUGGAAACCCGGGUGUUUGGAUUCGGCUCUUCGUUCAUUGGUUUUUGGGUAUUAUUCCAUUCAUUUUUUUCGUCAUUGUAUUCCGAUUUGGUUGUGCGUUAGCGCUUUGUUAUAAUUGUUUACCAAUUCAUAGUGUUUCGUUCGUAUGCAGGGUUCUUUCCCGUCGUUGGUUUCUGACUGUUAUUUGUGUUUUUUUUGUUGUUCGUCUGGGUAGGUUGCCAUUACCAUUGUUUUAUAUGUGUCUCUGUGUAUAGUUCUUGCGUGUGUUCGUUGCUUUUGUGUUUGUCAGCGCCGUCCACAGAGCCGUGCAGGAUGUGUGAUGGUAUGGGGUCUUCCGUUUUUACGGGCCAUAGGAUUAGAGCUUAUUAAUAAAUAAUAUUUAAUAUUUUUUGCUAACUUUUCUGUGUACAGUCGAUGAUAAAUGUUUGUGUCAGCUAUAAAAAAUACUAUAUUAUUUUUUCUUACUUGGUGCCAUAUAGUUUCAUCUGAGUCCUUUGUCCGUCAGUUUAGCUAUCUUGAUUCAGUUUGCUGAUUCAUGUCUUUAUUGACGAUGAAAAUUAGAAGAAGGUGUGUUGGCGAUUGGCGCCAUAUAGUUCCAUGUAGAUUUUAGGUCUUUCCGUUUAACUAUCUUGAUUCAAUUUGUUGACUCAUGUCUUUAUUGACGAUGAAAACCAAAAGGUGUGUUAACAGGUAUCAAACUAUAUAUUGUUGUCUCAUGGAUCCAUAAAAAUUUGGAGAUCUUUGGUGCUUGGAGUGUAAAAGUCAAAGAGUAGUCUAAUUUUCUAGAGAUGUCUACAGUUCAUGGCUUCUGUAUAAGACAUUUUUAAUUAUUCGGUGUUAUAAACGAGUGUUGCAUGAUACUGCAUAGGAUUAUUGCUCUAUUUUUUUUAGAUACAUUGAGCUUAUUUUAGUGGUUACAACUGGCCCUUAUUUGUUACUCACACAGUCGUGGCGUUUGCUUUCCGUUUGGUUGUUUUCUUCUUUAGCUAUGUUACUUACCAUACAUUUAUCUAUGUUUUUUAAGUUUAGUAUUCUAACGUUGUUAAUGCUUUGUUUUUUCCUCCUUGUUCCAGGUUUCAUAUCUUAGUAUCGUCGCCUGUUUACAGAUUGGUUUUAUUUGGGACCGAAGCAUAUUUCUUACGUCUCUGUACUGUCUUGUUCAGGUAUUUUUACGCUGUUGCUUUUGCCUUAUGUUUACAUGUUAUAUGUGACCAGACCAAAACAAACAUGUUACAGCAAGGCUUUAUCAUUGUUCGAAACUACCUCAUUGGUCUAAGACCAUGGAAUCCAGAACAUGGAUCAACAGCAGUCUCCUUACAAACCGUGCUAACCUCUUCUCCACUCAACAUACACCUAGCUACAAACAUACCCUUGUCAGAUCCAUAUGAACACCUAACCAUUCACAUUACCGGCAUACCACCGCAUCUUUGCUGCAACUCCCUCAUACACAAACUCUUCCACAAAAUCUGCAUCAUCCAUUCAGUCAACUUUAUAUCUGCUACAACUGAAUAUGAGGUUAGUGCCCGCGGAAGGCUAACAAUGAUCCCACAAAUUGCUCAUUUGGGAAUUAGAAACCUAAGCGGACAGAGUGAGGUAAUCAACAUAUGGCAGUUAUCUUACCAGACAUUCACAGACGAAAUGCUAGGCAGACAAACACCACCAGGAGACCGACGAUCUGACCUCCGCGGUAACAGCCUCUGUUAUCAAUACAAUGCCCAAAACAUAGCAACCAAAGCUUACCGAUAAUAUUACCUCUGACUUUAAUUUACAGGAUACUCAGACAUCGACACAGAGCAACGACUAGAACUGGUCGACAGCGACGGAAAUAACGAGGCAACCUCCCGACUCCAAGGUAUACCAGAACAAACUCCUUUAAACACAGCCUUUACUCAAAAACAAGUACUCUCAAAUACUUACAAUCGUUUAAUAUCUUGAUAUUAUAAACGACGCACAAAACAUUACCCACAACAAAUUUUGAGCCACUGUCAGCAAUCUAAUUUUCAAAUACUAUUGCCAAAAACUGACACAUACAACAUAUCUGUGCAGUCGCCUCCGAUACUUCGUCAAUGGACACAUACAACAGUAAUGAAGAAUGAGAGUCAGGCCACAACAAGUCAAAAUCCAGCUACGAACAACAGAGGCAGAAUGAUCCAUCAGAGUUCAGAGCAUGUAAACACUUGCUAAUCUAUAUCGUGUCCACCACGACGCCAUGUUUAUAAUCAGCAACCUAUCAAACUUUCGUAUGUGUACUCUAUAUAUCCCUCCACUAGAUCAGGCCUUUCCAUGUACACAUAAAGGCCUACUAAAGACCAUGUAUCCGUAGCUUCAUGCAGGAGUAUAUUUACUUAACCUCUGUAUAAUAUCUAUGCUGUUCAGUUCAAACAAACUGCUACAAAACAAUCAGUGUUCAGUUAAUAACUUCGAAAUUAGUACCCCACAUGCGCGCGAAGGCGCGCGCCCUGCCACUAGUUUAUCUAUAGAUCUCAAUGAGUGAACGGGGCUCUAAGAUCAGACUGAUCUUGUAUUUAGUAAACCCUGCAUCCAUAAACAUCUUACUUCACUUUUCCUCGUCUCUCUCUUUGCCCGGCACUAGGACCAUCAUAUUUAUGUGGGUCAAGCUCCUGCGUGUGCCUUGAACUCAAUCAAGGCUGAUUGUAAUUCCUCUAUUUCUAGUUAAUAAAGCUCUCUCUUCACUCGC
rnacentral:lncRNA from 1 species